CUCUGCCCGGGCGUCCUCUCGGGUCGGGGUCCUGUCUUUACCCAGGACGCCCGGUCAGCUGCCACGACGCCCCCAGAUCAUGACCCGCAGAGGGUCUCUCGGUCCCGGCACCGAUUCUGAGCCCUGGGUUUCUUUCACUCAAUAUAUGAUUUUGCCUCUGGCAUCAUGAAGAUAAGUAGCAAAUUGAUUUAAGCUGUCAGCAGAUAAAAUUCACCAGAAUUCAAGAGGAGAUUAUUCAUUUGACUCCAGGAACAAUAUGUGAUGAAGAUAUGAACAUCUACUCAGAUGCUGCUCUGCCUCUUAGCAAUAGGGAGCAUGGAGAGAACAUUUUUUAUAAGGGUUUCUUGCACUCGGAAGCAUCUGAUGCGGACAACUUCUUAGCAUGUAUGCAAUGUACGCAGCGCCUGACCAGGAUUCAUCCCUGAAUUUGUUGUGCUGGUUGGAUCAUUAAGUUCUCGGGCUGGGAGACCACUGGUCUGAGGCAGCAUAGCACUUACCUAGGUAGUUACAGUUUCAUUGACAGGCAAGGUUCUUCCCAUAAAACCUCCCAAAUUUUCAGGCUGAUGAUUCCCACAUCACAUGUAAUUUCUACCCACACACCUUCCUUGAAAGCUUCUCCCAUACCUUUAACCUCAGCGAUGGCUAUAUUUGAAUGAACGUUAUCAGAUGAAUUAUCGUCUUCGGGUUACUACUUUGCUGUGGUGCCAACGUGGAAACAGAUGGACUUCCCCAUAUCCAGAAUCUUAGAGUGAAGCCUGAGGUGUAGCACUCCCAUAACCUGCACACACCAAAGGUCAACCAAUUUCAGACUUCAGCUGGAAUUUACAAAUUCAUCCAGGAGGCACAGGGGAGAGAGAGAAGUUGGUUCAAUUAUAUUAAUAAAGUAGGAGCUCUUAUUUGUUCUUUACAGUAUUUAUUGUACAUGCAUAUCUCUGGAAAACAUAAGUCCCUGCUGGAACCCUCUUUCUAAAUCAGAUAUAAAUUACCUUCAGCUACAGUAUGUGCGUUUUAUGUCUAUGAUUAAGAAACAGCAUUAUGCGCUGACUGCCUUCUCUUUGUAAGUUGACAUCAUUUUCUUGAUUUCGGCAAUUGCUUUUCCAGGGUUCAGUCCCUACAAAGACAAAGUGUAACAGUUAGCGGACAGAGAAAUUAACACUACACUUAAUAGAGUUUCCUUUACAUCAACCUGGGUUGGUGUUGUAAGCUCACAGCCACGCCGGCCCCACUGAGACAAGCUGGCAGAGUGUGGGCUGCAAAAUCCACGCCUUCUCAUUUUGAAAAAUAAAAGUAGAGUCCACCUGCUCCCAUGGCAAGCCCCAGUAUGGUGUCUCCUUUUGGUUGUUCGCAUGAUAUGGGUGCACAGGGGAGCCACUCAGUUAUGAUCUGCCCCAGACAAGACAGGCGAUAUCCUGGAUGUCUCUGCAUACCAUAAUGUGAGAAGAUGCAAAGUCACUGCACCCCCAAUUCCAACUUUUCAGGGAAGGAGUGGAGCAAUGUCUGGGGGUGGGGGGGAGCAGAGAGGAAGAGGCAAGCCAGGUGGGGUGAGUGGGGACACAUCCAGCAGGUAGCUGCCUCUCUGCAAUGGUGCCCAAUUCUGACCCUGAUAAAAUCUUCAAAAAAGGCCCUUGUUCAAAUGUUUGCAGCCCCUUCCUGGGCCACAAUAUAUAUUUGUUAGCACCAGCCCAUGUCAUUUUAAGAAACAAAAAUAUUUGUUAUCUUUUGGUCUGAAUAUAGCAAGACCUAACAAGCAGCCACUCAAGGGACUGACAACAAACCUAACGGCUCAGAGAUAAGAUCUCUUGAUUAAGUUGGAGCAGAGUUGUACUCAAUACAUUUGGAGGUAUUUUCACAUGGGCGCCGAAGGCAGGAGCUUGCCUAAUCAAGAUGGUCUCUUGUGUAAGUUUCACUGGAGUCAAGAUACAAAAUCUAAUGUUUUAUUUAAAACUAGGAGAAAAGCAAGAACGGCAUCUUAAAUGGAACCUGAGGGAUAGAAAGCAAAAGCACUUCAGGCUACAACACAAAAAUGAUUCUAGCACACCAUCAUGCUUCUGGUUGUUCAGUUUUCCAAAGGAUUUGUUGUUGUAUUGUAGAGCCACCAUUCAUGCCGUGAAAGGCCUUUAUAUAAUCCUGUAGUGCUGCCUAACUAAAUGAGUAUGCUUAAUCUCAACAUAAAAGGGAAAAAUCACAAGCACCCUGCCAGACCGCUAAUCAUGGAGAAUUCAGAUAUGACCAAGGGAAGACCCAGGGUUACAGUGUCUGGGUUGAAACAUGGUGAUUGUUAACUAAUAAGUCAUAGAUACCGGUAAGAAAUGCAAAACCCAUGAUUUGCUGCUUCAUUAUAAUGCUCCCACAAUUCUCCCUCUCACCUGUGCACGCACACACAGGAUCUUCUGUUAGUAUAGAUGAACAGUGACUUCAAGGGAACUACAUCAGUUCACAUCAACUGAUGAUCUCGCUCCAAAUGUAACUGGUUACCUACAUUCUCUAGAAGUCAGCAAUAAAUGUAACCUGGAAUCACAAUUUAAUACGCACAGAAGCACUGAGUUUUAGUGAUCAGCACUUGUAGAGAUGGAUGAUCCCUGAGAAUCUUACUUCCAAGAGUUAUGUAGUCCUGGAGCAGGCAUUUGCCUCCUGCCUAUUAGGUAGUGGGCUUUCAGUUGUAAAUCUGAUUAGAAGCAAUUUCUUUGCUGUUUUCAAAAAGCUAUAGGGAAGAAUUUCACACCUUUCCAGCUGCAACCCACGUAGAGUUAAAGAAUACUACUAUUUGCAGGAGAGCUAGACCCCUUCAAACUUGAUUAUCUGCCAUGACAACUCACUAGGUCACUACAUGAUGGAGAUUUUACUUUCUGCACAGAUUUGAUUUGAAAAAUUCAUUCCCGUCGUUCUGAAUGUAGCGAUCUGCACGUUAUUAACAAGCAAACUGGGAGCUACCUAAACUGGCCCUGGUAACAGGCUCCCACUGCAUUACAAUUCCCAGACAUAGCUGAAGCCCACUUUAGCCUCUUCACACACUCACACGCUAUACAGCACUUCAGUGAUACCCUGAACGGCAGGAAUAUGAACAGAUACUUAUUUAGAGGAUAAACGUACUGCUCUUGAUGGUCGAACACCAAAAUUUAGAACCACGAUAGACUUCCCUUGCCUACCACAACUCAGUCAAGGCACUGCAGUCCUUACCUGCACCUCCCACUGCUAUUAUAGCCCUAAUCUCUGAAGCAGAGACUACUAAUUGUGCCUAAUUGAGUUGAAGUGCAUGGCAAAUAUUCCCUAAGAAGGCAGCUUUCAAGACUUUCUGGAGUCUUGCAUCCGAUGAAGUGAGCUGUAGCUCACGAAAGCUUAUGCUCAAAUAAAUUGGUUAGUCUCUUAGGUGCCACUAGUACUCCUUUUCUUGGAGCUCAUAAGACUCUUUCCUGGAUUUUUUUCUUAGGGUGGGAGGGAGGUAAUGAGGCCCCUUGCUCAGGGGGUGCAUA